AAUAGAUACCCGGGUAGUCCACGCUGUAAACGAUGUCAACUAGCUGUUGGUCAUAUGAAUGUGAUUGGUGGCGCAGCUAACGCGAUAAGUUGACCGCCUGGGGAGUACGGUCGCAAGAUUAAAACUCAAAGGAAUUGACGGGGGGCCCGCACAAGCGGUGGAGCAUGUGGUUUAAUUCGAUGCAACGCGAAGAACCUUACCUACCCUUGACAUACAGCGAAUUUUGCAGAGAUGCGAAAGUGCCUUCGGGAACGCUGAUACAGGUGCUGCAUGGCUGUCGUCAGCUCGUGUUGUGAGAUGUUGGGUUAAGUCCCGUAACGAGCGCAACCCUUAUUCUUAGUUGCCAGCGCGUAAUGGUGGGAACUCUAAGAAGACUGCCGGUGACAAACCGGAGGAAGGCGGGGACGACGUCAAGUCAUCAUGGCCCUUACGGGUAGGGCUACACACGUGCUACAAUGGCCGGUACAGAGGGCAGCGAAGCGGUGACGUGGAGCAAAUCCUAUAAAGCUGGUCGUAGUCCGGAUUG
rnacentral:rRNA from 1 species